GACGAACGCUGGCGGCGUGCUUAACACAUGCAAGUCGAACGGACAGGCCCUGCUUUUGUUGGUUGCUCGAUUGGCGAACGGGUGAGUAACACGUGAGUAUCCUCCCCUUGACUUUGGGAUAACUUCAGGAAACUGGGUCUAAUACCGGAUAUGAGCUCCUGCUCCAUGGUGUGGGUUGGAAAGUUUCGGCGGUUGGGGAUGGACUCGCGGCUUAUCAGCUUCUUGGUGUGGUAGUGGCUUACCAAGGCUUUGACGGGUAGCCGGCCUGAGAGGGUUACCGGCCACAUUGGGACUGAGAUACGGACCAGACGCCUACGGGAGGCAGCAGUGGAGAAUAUUGCACAAUGGGCGGAAGCGUGAGGCAGAAACGCCGGGUGCGGGAUGACGGCCUUCGGGGUGUAAACCGCUGUCGCCUGUGACGAAGCGUGAGUGACGGUAAUGGGUAAAGAAGCACCGGCUAACUACGUG
rnacentral:rRNA from 1 species